UACGGAGGGUGCAAGCGUUGUCCGGAAUCACUGGGCGUAAAGGGCGCGUAGGCGGCUCAUGAAGGCUGUGGUGAAAGUCCGGGGCUCAACCUCGGAUCGGCCGUGGCGACUCGUGGGCUGGAGCACUGUAGAGGCGGGUGGAAUUCCGGGUGUAGCGGUGGAAUGCGUAGAGAUCCGGAAGAACACCAGUGGCGAAGGCGGCCCGCUGGGCAGUGGCUGACGCUGAGACGCGAAAGCGUGGGAAGCAAACAGG
rnacentral:rRNA from 1 species